rnacentral:rRNA from 1 species
UACGUAGGGUGCGAGCGUUGUCCGGAAUUAUUGGGCGUAAAGAGCUCGUGAGCGGUCUGUCGCGUCGGUCGUGAAAACUUGGGGCUUAACCCUGAGCUUGCGGUCGAUACGGGCAUGACUGGAGUUCGGUAGGGGAGACUGGAAUUCCUGGUGUAGCGGUGAAAUGCGCAGAUAUCAGGAGGAACACCGGUGGCGAAGGCGGGUCUCUGGGCCGAUACUGACGCUGAGGAGCGAAAGCGUGGGGAGCGAACAGG